rnacentral:rRNA from 1 species
AGAGUUUGAUCCUGGCUCAGAUUGAACGCUGGCGGCAUGCUUUACACAUGCAAGUCGGACGGCAGCACAGGGAAGCUUGCUUCUCGGGUGGCGAGUGGCGAACGGGUGAGUAACAUAUCGGAACGUACCGGGUAGCGGGGGAUAACUGAUCGAAAGAUCAGCUAAUACCGCAUACGUCUUGAGAGGGAAAGCAGGGGACCUUCGGGCCUUGCGCUAUCCGAGCGGCCGAUAUCUGAUUAGCUGGUUGGCGGGGUAAAGGCCCACCAAGGCGACGAUCAGUAGCGGGUCUGAGAGGAUGAUCCGCCACACUGGGACUGAGACACGGCCCAGACUCCUACGGGAGGCAGCAGUGGGGAAUUUUGGACAAUGGGCGCAAGCCUGAUCCAGCCAUGCCGCGUGUCUGAAGAAGGCCUUCGGGUUGUAAAGGACUUUUGUCAGGGAAGAAAAGGCCGUUGCCAAUAUCGGCGGCCGAUGACGGUACCUGAAGAAUAAGCACCGGCUAACUACGUGCCAGCAGCCGCGGUAAUACGUAGGGUGCGAGCGUUAAUCGGAAUUACUGGGCGUAAAGCGGGCGCAGACGGUUACUUAAGCAGGAUGUGAAAUCCCCGGGCUCAACCCGGGAACUGCGUUCUGAACUGGGUGACUCGAGUGUGUCAGAGGGAGGUGGAAUUCCACGUGUAGCAGUGAAAUGCGUAGAGAUGUGGAGGAAUACCGAUGGCGAAGGCAGCCUCCUGGGAUAACACUGACGUUCAUGUCCGAAAGCGUGGGUAGCAAACAGGAUUAGAUACCCUGGUAGUCCACGCCCUAAACGAUGUCAAUUAGCUGUUGGGCAACUUGAUUGCUUGGUAGCGUAGCUAACGCGUGAAAUUGACCGCCUGGGGAGUACGGUCGCAAGAUUAAAACUCAAAGGAAUUGACGGGGACCCGCACAAGCGGUGGAUGAUGUGGAUUAAUUCGAUGCAACGCGAAGAACCUUACCUGGUUUUGACAUGUGCGGAAUCCUCCGGAGACGGAGGAGUGCCUUCGGGAGCCGUAACACAGGUGCUGCAUGGCUGUCGUCAGCUCGUGUCGUGAGAUGUUGGGUUAAGUCCCGCAACGAGCGCAACCCUUUUCCUUAUUUGCCAGCG